GAUGAACGCUGGCGGCGUGCUUAACACAUGCAAGUCGAACGGAAAGGCCCUGCUUUUGUGGGGUGCUCGAGUGGCGAACGGGUGAGUAACACGUGAGUAACCUGCCCUUGACUUUGGGAUAACUUCAGGAAACUGGGGCUAAUACCGGAUAGGAGCUCCUGCUGCAUGGUGGGGGUUGGAAAGUUUCGGCGGUUGGGGAUGGACUCGCGGCUUAUCAGCGUGUUGGUGGGGUAGUGGCUUACCAAGGCUUUGACGGGUAGCCGGCCUGAGAGGGUGACCGGCCACAUUGGGACUGAGAUACGGCCCAGACUCCUACGGGAGGCAGCAGUGGGGAAUAUUGCACAAUGGGCGGAAGCCUGAUGCAGCAACGCCGCGUGCGGGAUGACGGCCUUCGGGUUGUAAACCGCUUUCGCCUGUGACGAAGCGUGAGUGACGGUAACGGGUAAAGAAGCACCGGCUAACUACGUG
rnacentral:rRNA from 1 species